CUAACCUCCAACAGAGGGGAGAGGCUGUUCUUGGGGACGUAAUGAAGAGGGUUCAGGCUUUAGACAGGGAGUAGAUGACCUGUACUAUCUGCUAUUCCUGACAGAGUUUAUGAGAUCUGUGUGAAUAUAUCACAAAGUUGGUAUUUAGGGGAACUUGUCUUUGUGAUGAUUCACUGUGUCAAUAUGGGAAAAGCAAAUUUCUUUUUCUUUUUUUUUUUUUUGGUAGCAUUUAAGUAAGACAUUUUUAUUAUAAUUAAUCAAUAUUUCUUUUUAUGCCAACAAAAUAUUUCUGAGGAGUGUCCAGUAUCUUUUCUACAGUUGCUGCAGCUUUCAGACCCUGGGAUUGGAGGCUGGCCAGGCAUCCACUCAUCACCUAGGGAAAGGGAUGUGUGAUAACCAUUAUGUCGUGGGUCCCUUUUCAAUCCAGAAGAUGAUUUCAUUUUUGCUACCAUUACAGUAUUCCUAUUUAGGGAAGCCAGGCUUUCAAAACUAGCAUUUUGAAGAACCACUUACCUUAAGCAUUGAUGCACCGUGGGCAGAACCAGUUCUUUUUGGCAAAUGCAGAGCAUCCAGCCACAGGUCAAUAGUUUGCACAGUGGGCAAGUUCACCAUUCACUGCUGUGAAUCCCCUGGAGCUGGGAGCAUCUGGCUUUGGUCACUUGUUCCCCUAAGUGCAGAUGUUUAUGCUUUUGUUUCCUUAUUUAUAGAAUUAGAGAAAAUGAGAUUCAUCUCAUAAAAAUAUUAUUUUUUAAAAAUGCCAUCUCCUGAAAAUACAGAAGAGUCAGAGAAGGCAGCUGCUGGUGUGCCCAUCUGACCAUACAGCACAGACACAGCGCUGCUUUGGAGGAGACUUGUUACUGUCAUUCCAGGUUCUCACUGCCUGUUCCCGAAGAGGCACCUAUAAGCAGAAAUCCCAGAAAAAGACCUUCGACACAAGGCCUUAGAAUCUCCUUCUUCUCUCAUGUAAGAUACGCCAGAGAAUUGUGAAGCAUAAGACUCCUGGCCUAAAAAAAUGGUCCUCACACCUAAAGAAAAGUACCAACUGGACUAUAAAUCACAGCUCCGAUACCAGUACUAGACUGGACUGGUUCCUUCACAGCAAUUCCAGGAAAACUGACAUUUCUGCAUUCCAGAACUGCCCUGAGUUCGAGACCCAAUUCAACUUGUCAGCUUCCUCCAGGAAGUGUAUGCAGCCAAAGCACAGACCAAAGAGGAGCCACUCCCACUAGAUAUUAGCUACAUCCCUUCGAGAAGACCUUGAAGCAGUCAGGCCUUCCCAGAAGCUUGGCCCACAUCUAAGAGCCUGGGAAGCCAUGGCCUUCGUAUCCUGAGCUCAGUGAAGAGCAGAUGAGCACAAUGAAGCCAAGUGUUCACAGAAAUCCAAGCAACUGUGCCUGAGACUUCAGACCUAGAUGUGGAUGAGAAAAGAGCAGCAGAAGGUGUUAUCAAUCCUAGAGAAUAUAACAAAACUAAGAACUCACCCUGACGAUUACGGAGAAGAGGGAUCUACAGCCAGAAGCAAGGUUUACAUAAGGAUCCAAAAGGUACUCGUGUAUGUGUGGAUGAGGAAAGAGAGAAAGUCUAGAUAACACGGAGGUGACUUGUAAAUUUACAUCAUAUGGCUAUUGAGAGGCAAAAAACAAAAAGACAUUUGACAUUAUUUAUGAUGUAUACACCUGAGCACUUCAUUUACCAUUUCAAUUUAUUUUUUUGCAGGAAAGGAAAAUAUUUCAUCUUACUCCUCCCUCCACAUGCUCUUCUACAAUAAAAAUAUUGAUGAUGAAGUUGACCCUUGCCAUCUUAGUCAAAGUACAUAUAUCACAAUGCUAAAACUUAGGAGAAAAAAAGCACACAUAUAGAUACAAAGAAAACAUAAACACAUAACAUAGUCAGAAUGUUUGUUUUACACAGGUUGUUCUAAUUAAUGAAAGUGUUCAAGAUAGUAUCAAAACCCACCAAAGUGUCAUAUGUAAAAUUAUAGCAGCAUAGGGCACAUUGAAUAUAAGAUCAAAGAUAGAAGGGAAGAUAUUAAGAUCUUUUAAAAUAUAGUCAUCUAAUCUUAGAAAUCGUAUUUUUCACCUCUUAGAUUAUUCAGCUACUGUCAAUCAUCAAGAGCAUGUAUAUAAUAAAAUAAAGCUACACAUCACAGAACCUUCUCAGUAGAGGGAGAGUACUUGGGAUAGAAAUGACCCCCACGUGCCUCCCAGUGAGUGAAAAGGUUCAAAAUGGUGUGACAGACAAGGAUCAUCUCAUUCACUGCUAGAGCAUGAAUUCUCCCCAAACACUUGUACAUCUGGAUACAAUCCUGCACACAGUUUUUUGUAUGUAGUAAUGUACAAAGCUUCAUAGCAGCAACAUGAUUUUACUUGAAUUCUGGUUUUUAAAUUUUUGAUCUGUUUACUCCACAUAGAAAACAACUUGGAGAUGCUGUACAGACCACAUCAAAAUCAAAGCAAAAGGCACAACUGUACAAAAACAGUUGCUGUUAUGGUGCCUAGAGCUUUCAACAGAAAUCUCGUUCCUUCCAGUUUUCUUUUAAGCAGCCAAAGGAAACUGAGUGGCUGAGACAAAACUGACUCCCGUGGGAGGGCUGGGGGCGAGUGAGGAACACGUGCUGAGCCCGGAGGAGAGAAAAGGGAAUUGGAACGAGUGAAUGUUAACCACAGGCUUUGCCUGCUUCACUCCAUUCGCUGAGCAGCUGCUAAGCCCUUGAUAGAAUGAACACCAAUUAAGAAGUGAACAUUUGGCAUUCGGAGGACAGCACAUGCUAGGGCAUGUGCCAGAAGACAGCAAAGGUGCUGUUACACGAAAAGAACCACAAGUUCUGCGUUGUAAGUCCAACUAUAGCUUUUUUUUUUUUUUUUUUUUUUAAAGCACGAGAUUCGUGAACACAGAUUUUCUAAAAGAAGAAAAACUAUCCUAAGGCACUCUUAUUCACAAUUGAGCCUCCGGCAAGAUUAAUGAAAGGAGAUACUAUUCCUAUAGGAGGAUAAUUUGAAGAGCAUAUUCUCCAAUUUGAUAAUAUGUGCAACAGAACAUAGCCUCCAGGACUCAAUUCUUAACAAGCAAUGAAUUCACAUUAGGUUGUAUUUUAGGCACAAAGGAAACGUUUGAAAAAUCUUUAAGAAGAAUGUAUUUGGCAAAGCAUGUGAACAAAAUCACUUAAAAUACAACUUCAGUACAGUUUUAUAUGUGACUUUAUUUCUGGUAGUUCAGAUUUUUAGGUCACUAAAUUCUACCAUUUAUAGGAGCUUAAAUAAGUCAACAGAAUAUGGCUUUCAGCAAGGAUAUACGCUGCCACUUAAACUUGGUAUUUUCUUUAUAGGGUGUUACUUUGGUUUUUAGCUUUAUUUGAACAAGAAUCUAUGUCCUUGGUUGUUUGAGGGAGUUUGAGGGUGACUCAGAUUAUAUUUAAUGU